UACGUAGGGGGCUAGCGUUGCUCGGAAUCACUGGGCGUAAAGGGUGCGUAGGCGGGUCUUUAAGUCAGGGGUGAAAUCCUGGAGCUCAACUCCAGAACUGCCUUUGAUACUGAAGAUCUUGAGUUCGGGGGAGGUGAGUGGAACUGCGAGUGUAGAGGUGAAAUUCGUAGAUAUUCGCAAGAACACCAGUGGCGAAGGCGGCUCGCUGGCCCGGUACUGACGCUGAUGUGCGAAAGCGUGGGGAGCAAACAGG
rnacentral:rRNA from 1 species